rnacentral:rRNA from 1 species
GACGAACGCUGGCGGCGUGCUUAACACAUGCAAGUCGAGCGGUAAGGCCUCUUUGGGGGUACACGAGCGGCGAACGGGUGAGUAACACGUGGGUGACCUGCCCUUCACUCUGGGAUAAGCCUGGGAAACUGGGUCUAAUACCGGAUAUUCACUUCUCAUCGCAUGGUGGGUGGUGGAAAGCCAGUGACAAUUGUUUCUGGCGGUGGGGGAUGGGCCCGCGGCCUAUCAGCUUGNGGUGGGGUAAAGGCCUACCAAGGCAUCGAUCGGUAGCUGGUCUGAGAGGAUGAUCAGCCACACUGGGACUGAGACACGGCCCAGACUCCUACGGGAGGCAGCAGUGGGGAAUAUUGGACAAUGGGGGCAACCU